rnacentral:tRNA from 1 species
GGGCCUAUAGCUCAGCUUGGUAGAGCUUCCGGCUCAUAACCGGACGGUCAGAGGUUCGACUCCUCUUGGGCCCACCA